GCAUUAAUGGGGUAGUGGUAACCUGGGUCGUUGCCAAUCGACAGCGAUGUCGACCCACCGGGAGUUCGAUUCUCUCUUAAUGUA